GGCCACACCUGAGGCAUAUGGAAGGAAGUUCCCAGGCUAGGGUUCAAAUCAGAGCUGCAUUUUGCAGCCAUGGUAAUGCAGGAUCAGGUAAAGCAUCUUCGACCUACACCACAGCUCAUGGCAACACCAGAUCCUUAACUCACCGUACAAGGGCAGGGAUCAAACCCACAUCCUCAUGGAUACUAAGUUGGAUUCUUAACUUACUGAGCCACAACAGGAACUCCGUCGUCAUUUUGAAUAUUAACCACAUAUACUACCAUCUGAUGAUACAGCUGUCAUCACAGAAAUUAAUCCAAAAGAAACUCACAGAACUUAAGCCCAGGGCCCACAUUGCACAGAUCCCUUUAAGUCCUGGGAGGGACCUAGCAAUGGGAGGCAUGGUAAUUGAUUUUGGAAAACCUCACCAUUCUCAUUUAACCUCAGUUUUCCCUCAACCAUGUCUCCUUUCAUGUCAGGGGUCAGUGACCACGGUGGCUGGAGAUGCAGUUAGGGAGAGUUUGGAUGUACACUGUAAGACAAUGGUGGAACAUGACUGUGUGGUUUGCAGUAAUUUAUCUUCAAUGCUACUUUAUUCCUAAAUAUCCAAGUGUAGUGACGUUUUUCAGGAUGACUCCACCCACCCACUGGAUUUGACCACUCGUAUUGUUAUUAAAACGGCUAAAAGUUGGGGUUGUACUGUCAUAUACACGAGCAAGGGCCACUAGCACUGGAAGUAGGUGUAAGGCAGAGAAGAAAUAGUUUUGCAAUAGAUGAUGUAAGAAGUUAAGUUUAUAGACAUCUUCCAGCCAUUAAAUGUGCAAAACUUAAGCUGAGGACUGUGGUAUCUACUUAUGUCUAGUUUAAGCAGAAUUUCUCUUAUCAAGAAUAUCCUUGAUAAAGAAGUAUAAAUGAUUCUCAUACACUGUACAACUUUUCUCCCUUUUGAUGAGAUUCAUCUAAUAUAAUUUGUCAAAAUUCCCAUGUUUCUGGUACUUAAACCAGUAACAGGACUACAAAGAAUGGAUAUAAAAGAUGUGAAAUAAUGCAAUGCUCACAUUCAAAUUGUCAGUAAUAAUUAAAUUCGAUCAACUAUCUUAGGGGAAAAAUUGAAUUAUCUUUUGAUCACUAAAGAAACUAUUAGAAUACCACUAUACAGAGAAGUAGUCAAAGAAGGAUGCAACCAAAACUGUAAGAAAAAAGUAUCAUCAGAGUUCCCAUAGUGGCUCAGCAUAAACGAAUCUAACUAGCAUCCAUGAAGACAUAGGUUCAAUCCCUGGACUCACUCAGUGGGUUAAGGAUAAGGCAUUGCUGUGAGCUGUGGUGUAGUCGCAGGCACAGCUCAGAUCUCACCUUGCUGUGGUUGCGGUUUAGGCCAGUGGCUAUAGCUCCCAUUCAACCCCUAGCCUGUGGAACAUCCAUGUGCAGCCCUGAAAAGUGAAAAAAAAAAGCAUUAUCAGUUUGGCCCAAAUAGUUAUAAAAAUACUGUUUUUACUGUGUGUGCUUUUCUUUGUAACACCUGAGCUAUUUGUUAGUGCUUUUAAUUUUAUAAUCUGGUGUAACAUCCUUGUUUCUAAGGAAAUACUCAGUUUUAUAAUCAUGACUUUGCAUAUUCUUCUUUAAAAGAGUCUCUCAAAUUUUAUACACUCCAGGCCCCAAAUCUAGCUCUCUGCCUCCAGCUUUGCACAUGUUUGAACUUGGGGGUGUGUCCUUGGGAACCUGACUUCCAACUCUGUCAUUUCUUGGUCCUGUGGAAAUGGGCAUGUUACUGCAUCACUGUAACUUCUAGUUUGCCUGUUUCCCUGUGGAAUAAUAGUACUUCAGGAAAGUGUAAGGAUGACAGACCAUUUAUGCUGGGUGUGCUUUGAUCAGGGACAGAGUCACAGUAGUGUUUGUUAAGCAGAAACCAUGAGAGCAACAUUACAGAAAUACCAAAGAGGGAGGAGAAACUCUAUGCUGAAUCUUCACUUUAGGAACCAAGUGUCCACCAGGGAUGAGAUAUUCCACAGACAUGGGGUAUGUUUCCUUCCCAACAGUGCUUGUGUGUGAAGAUGGCUAAUACUUCCCCCUAUGAGGACCAUGUCUUGGUACCUCUUUGGCUGAAUAUUCAUUUCCAUUUCCAUUUCCACUGGAAAUACUAUUUUUAGAUGUCAGUCCACUGAAUCAGGCACUCUUCAUUCUUGUGCUACCUUAAAUUCUGCUGCCAAAAUGUACUUAAUCUCACAUCCACUGUUCUUUCUUUGGUAGUUAUUAGUGAAAGGAUUGCAUCCUUCCCUAGCCAUCUUAUAAAAAUGGUAUCUCUUCUCAUGUAGGAUUGUAGAACCAUCCCCACACUAGUGUAACAGAAAAGAAUGUCUAAGACCUUAUGGUAAAUAUAUGUCACAUUAUAAAGUGAUAGACUGACAUUCUUGUUUUGGGCAAUGGGCUUUGACCUUUGUUAAGGUAGUCUGUCUCCAAAAGAUGCAUCUGCUUUUAGUAGGCUGUUAAUUUUCUGCAUCAUCAAAAUGAUGGUUAAGACCUUGGAUUAAAAAUUCACCAAGAUAAUGACACUCAUCUUACUAAUGUCUUCCAGGGAAGUGAGGUGGAUCUACUCCCCACACCUUACCAUGUGCACUUCUGCACCAUGACUUGGACACGAGGUUGCGAAGCCUUUCUUUCUAAGUUGAAGUUCCACACCAUCUAGUGGAAGUAGAUAGACACAUACAAAAAUAAGAGCUGUAACAUCACCACGCCAAUGUAAACACUUAAAUGUGAAUGAAUUAAAGUAGAACACAGUCUCUGCUCUAUAAAAAUUUAUAUCUGGGAAAAAAUACAGCAUGGUUAGAGAAGUAAUGACUGACUAAACAUGAGGCACAGGCAAAGCCACUUGGAAAAGGACAGAAGUUACAAAGGAGUGGAUCUGGAAGUUACAGGUCUCUGGUCCCAUGAAUUACUAUAAAAAAGGUACAAUCAGAUUGGAUUUGUCAGUUCCUGGUCCUACUGAAAACUGUUUCACAUGUGUACUAAAUUUGUCACAGCCACCUCAUGUUUUGCAUUUAUAUUCUCCUGCCAUGCUGGUAGUUUCAAGAGCACAUGAGCCUGUGUACAUGUGUGUAAUUGGAGAUGGAGCCUUAUCCAUUUGUUCCAGUAAGUUCUUGUGUUCGGCAACAUCAUAAGUCCAAAUGAAGUCAAUAAAAAUUGUCCUCCCCAUGCCUUUCAUGCAAGGCGCAGAGCCAGCAACCUCAGCAGUUACAUUCACCAGAGUUGGCACAAUUGAAUGUGAUGGUUGGUACCCAGACUGACCUGCAGUCUUCAAGUCUCUAAAUUUACUAUCACUGAUAUUUUAGGCUGCUUCAAACUAAUUUCCCUUUUAUUUCAGGUUUUUUUAAUGGAUACUCUGUUUCUAAGAGUUUCUCUCGGAUAACAUGCAUACAGGGUUUUUUUUUUUAAUGUCUUGUUGAGCAAAUGCUUUUAAAAGAUGAUUAGGUCAUUUGAAGUGCAAUUUUUAUUUAAUAGCAGGAAAAUUAGACUCAGCAUGGAUUACCAGGUGCCCAGCUUGUGUGCAGUGUAAUGCUUGGUGUGGAAGACCAAAUUCACAGCUUUAUUUUCAGCAACAUGUUAAGGGAGUAUUUUAAUGAAACAUUAUUUUUAAAAUGAAAUUGACUCUUCUUACAUACAAAUCUGAACAUUAACACAGCACUGAGCUUUCAAUAAGAUAUACUUGAUGUUAGGAAAAUGGCUUUUUAUAAAGUAAGGAAGACUCCUUUACUGGCUUCAUAUAAGAUAUUUAUUUAAACAAAAGGCAAAGUAAAAAGCAAUCCCUUUUAAAAUCACAUUAAAAAAAACCUUAGGAAUAAACCUGACCAAGGAGGUAAAAGACUUAUAUGCUGAGAACUAUAAAACACUGAUAAAAGUAAUUAAAGAUGACUCAAAGAAAUGGAAAUAUAUUCUAUGUUCUUGUAUUAGCAGAAUUAAUAUUCUUAAAAUGCUUGUACUACCCAAAGCAACCUACAGAUUUAAUGCAAUCCCUAUCAAAUUACCCAUGACAUUUUCAAAGAAAUAGGACAAAUAAUUUUAAAAUUUAUAUGGAACCAUAUAAAACCUAAAAUUGCCAAAGCAAUCCUGAGGAAAAAGAACAAACCUUGGAGACAUAACCCUCCCAGACUUCAGACAAUACUACAAAGAUACAGUAAU
rnacentral:lncRNA from 1 species